UGUUGGUAGAAGCGCUGGAUUGGUGCCGACGGAGGUUUGUCACAGAACAAGAGGAAGCUAUGUUUGGAAGCAAUGGUGUUGCAAUUGGAAUUGCCACAAAGAGGUACACAAAAGUUUGUGACAAGAAAAUGGAUUAAAAGAAUUCAAUCCUAAGGA